rnacentral:tRNA from 3 species
GGCCCGCUAGCUCAAUGGCAGAGCAACUGACUCUUAAUCAGUAGGUUCUCGGUUCGACCCCGAGGCGGGUCACGA